ACUGCUAGGUGAGUGGUUAGAACGCUGAGCUUUGGCCUAGGAGUCGGGAGUUCGAUUCCCUUGUAAGGUG
rnacentral:tRNA from 1 species